rnacentral:rRNA from 1 species
AUUGAACGCUGGCGGAAUGCUUUACACAUGCAAGUCGAACGGGAGCACGGACUUCGGUCUGGUAGCGAGUGGCGAACGGGUGAGUAAUGUAUCGGAACGUGCCCAGUCGUGGGGGAUAACGUAGUGAAAAUUACGCUAAUACCGCAUACGAUCUAUGGAUGAAAGCGGGGGAUCGCAAGACCUCGCGCGAUUGGAGCGGCCGAUAUCAGAUUAGGUAGUUGGUGGGGUAAAGGCCCACCAAGCCAACGAUCUGUAGCUGGUCUGAGAGGACGACCAGCCAGACUGGAACUGGGGCACGGUCCAGACUCCUACGGGAGGCAGCAGUGGGGAAUUUUGGACAAUGGGCGAAAGCCUGAUCCAGCCAUUCCGCGUGCAGGAUGAAGGCCCUCGGGUUGUAAACUGCUUUUGUACAGAACGAAAAGGUUUCUACUAAUACUAGGAGCUCAUGACGGUACUGUAAGAAUAAGCACCGGCUAACUACGUGCCAGCCGCCGCCGUAA